rnacentral:rRNA from 1 species
UACGUAGGUCCCGAGCGUUGUCCGGAUUUAUUGGGGGUAAAGCGAGCGCAGGUGGUUUAUUAAGUCUGGUGUAAAAGGCAGUGGCUCAACCAUUGUAUGCAUUGGAAACUGGUAGACUUGAGUGCAGGAGAGGAGAGUGGAAUUCCAUGUGUAACGGUGAAAUGCGUAGAUAUAUGGAGGAACACCGGUGGCGAAAGCGGCUCUCUGGCCUGUAACUGACACUGAGGCUCGAAAGCGUGGGGAGCAAACAGG